CUCUUAGAAAAGGCACCAGCGCCCCUGCCCAAGAGCCCCUCCAGGCUCCUGCUACCCCCUCAUUCUCUACUAGCUCUUUUGCACCGCCCUCCUGCCCCCCUUAGUCCCGCCCCUCUCGGCCUGCGGUAGUGGAAGGAGACCAGCCCCUUCCAGGGGACCUGGCCCUCUGGGUUUUGGGGCCCUAAGAUGCCCGCCCUUAUGUGCCGCAGGCCUCCGCUUCUGCAACCCCGGCUGGGACGCCUUCCAGGGCGCCUGCUACAAGCACUUUUCCACACGAAGGAGCUGGGAGGAGGCAGAGACCCAGUGCCGGAUGUACGGCGCGCAUCUGGCCAGCAUCAGCACGCCCGAGGAACAGGACUUCAUCAACAGUGGGCUGGGAGACAGGGCGGGAGGGGCCCCCGCCAUAUGCUCUCACUCUCUCUCACUCGCCUAACCGCCUUCCUCAUUAACCCAUGCACUUAUUCCUUGGUUUUCUCAAGCGUGCAUUCCCUCACUCAUUCGUUCACUCCCCUUCUCAUUCUCUCUCCCUUCCCACCCUACGCUUAGGCAGUGGCCUUCGGGAACGGAGAGUGGAGGUUCGCGCAGUAGAGUGCGCCUGUGUGGGCCGGGCCGCCGUGCAGGGGGCCGCCUCCAAUCCCUCCAACCUCCCUGCUCUCCGACCUCCGUCGGCCUCCUCCGACUCCAACUCCAAUCUUGUUGAAAGUUUUGACUCUUUUUCCAAAACUCCCCUUUUCUAGCCUGGGUUGAUAUCUUCCUUAUUCUCCCACCCCCAUUCCCCUGCUUUCCAUCUGGCCCUUGAGCAGAGGCUGGGGUAGAAGAACCCGACAAGGGCAGGUGCUGGAUCGCGGGGAAGGGUUUCCAAGGCAGUCACCGCAGACCGCCCGGGAGCGGGGAACGGCCGCCAUCUGCUGGCGGCUGCGCUCACUGCACGCCUUCGUCUCCCUAGACCGGUACCGGGAGUACCAGUGGAUCGGACUCAACGACAGGACCAUCGAAGGCGACUUCUUGUGGUCGGAUGGCGUCCCCCUGCUCUAUGAGAACUGGAACCCUGGGCAGCCUGACAGCUACUUCCUGUCUGGAGAGAACUGCGUGGUCAUGGUGUGGCAUGAUCAGGGACAAUGGAGUGACGUGCCCUGCAACUACCACCUGUCCUACACCUGCAAGAUGGGGCUGGUGUCCUGUGGGCCGCCACCGGAGCUGCCCCUGGCUCAAGUGUUCGGCCGCCCACGGCUGCGCUAUGAGGUGGACACUGUGCUUCGCUACCGGUGCCGGGAAGGACUGGCCCAGCGCAAUCUGCCGCUGAUCCGAUGCCAAGAGAACGGUCGUUGGGAGGCCCCCCAGAUCUCCUGUGUGCCCAGAAGACCUGCCCGAGCUCUGCACCCAGAGGAGGACCCAGAAGGACGUCAGGGGAGGCUACUGGGACGCUGGAAGGCGCUGUUGAUCCCCCCUUCGAGCCCCAUGCCAGGUCCCUAGGGGGCAAGGCCUUGAACACUGCCGGCCACAGCACUGCCCUGUCACCCAAAUUUUCCCUCACACCCUGCGCUCCCGCCACCACAGGAAGUGACAACAUGACGAGGGGUGGUGCUGGAGUCCAGGUGACAGUUCCUGAAGGGGCUUCUGGGAAAUACCUACGAGGCUCCAGCCCAGCCCAGGCCCUCUCCCCCUACCCUGGGCACCAGAUCUUCCAUCAGGGCCGGAGUAAAUCCCUAAGUGCCUCAACUGCCCUCUCCCUGGCAGCCAUCUUGUCCCCUCUAUUCCUCUAGGGAGCACUGUGCCCACUCUUUCUGGGUUUUCCAAGGGAAUGGGCUUGCAGGAUGGAGUGUCUGUAAAAUCAACAGGAAAUAAAACUGUGUAUGAGCCCAGGCAAGUUG
rnacentral:sRNA from 1 species